UAUUAGGUUGGUGCAAAAGUAAUCGCGGUUUUUGCCAUUACUUUCAAUGACAAAACCCUCAAUUACUUUUGCAAUGACCUAAUA
rnacentral:miRNA from 1 species